UACGUAGGUGGCAAGCGUUAUCCGGAUUUACUGGGUGUAAAGGGCGUGUAGGCGGGACUGCAAGUCAGAUGUGAAAACCACGGGCUCAACCUGUGGCCUGCAUUUGAAACUGUAGUUCUUGAGUACUGGAGAGGCAGACGGAAUUCCUAGUGUAGCGGUGAAAUGCGUAGAUAUUAGGAGGAACACCGGCGGCGAAGGCGGCUUACUGGACUGUAACUGACGUUGAGGCUCGAAAGCGUGGGGAGCAAACAGG
rnacentral:rRNA from 1 species